UAGAAGAAGUUUAUAUAUUUUGAUCUUCUUUUUUCAUAAGUCUUGCAAUCCCUCUUAUCUUUUCUUCCAGGGGAACAUGGUUAGCUCAUUAUCCGUCCCUGAUCUUUUCUGCAUUCUUUUGUGGUAUUUCACGCUUUACAGGACAUACCUAACUAUAGAAAAGGAUGUAAGUUUCUUCCAGUACUCAACAACACAAAAAUUGUAAUUACAACAAAAGGCUUGAAACCUUGGAAAAUUUAGUACUUAGUAUGUUUGAAAAGGAUGAAAUUUUUGUACGAAAUCACACCUCAUGGGUUUGGUACUAUCCUGAUGGUUUCUUCAGCACUGUUUUGUUUGCUUAGAAGGUAAUUAUAAACAUUCUACGCGUCACAUAAUCUCAUAUAUUUCUACAUAAUUCACUUUUUUCUGAUCAUAAAUCAAUCUAAGUUUCACUAUGGAAGUACAAAGACCAUUUUAAAUUUGUCAUGUAAUCCCUGAUUUUGAUAGGAUAUUUCCUGAUCUUGAUUUAUGAUUUGUGUAUAUUUGUAAAUUAUUUCUUCGCCGUUGUAUCAGUUGUUAUUGUAUUUGCAGAGUUAGAUGUAUUAUUUGUUAUAAAAUGGCUGAAUUGUUCUGUCUUUUACUUUGUUUCAGAUACUUUGCCUUUAGCUCUGUUUCUCUUCCCUUUAUUCCCCCUUGCUAGCAAUGGAUUAUAAGUAUUGUUCUACUGUAACUAUUAACACCUAUUUGAUCGAUUUCAAUGUUGGAAUUCAACUACAAAUGCUCAUGCAUGACCUUCCAAAAAGCAACAUGUGUUGAAAUAGGACUCUAAUUGCUGGAUGUGUUUGCAACAACACAAAUUGCUAUUUAUUAUUACAGGAAAUGUAGGACUAAAUAAGAAAAGGCUAAGAAUCCAUUGUCUCUACAAAUUGUGUUCUCACAACAUCUGUAAUAUCCAAGUAUUUCUUUUAAAUUUAGUUAUAGAAAGUACUGAAUGGAUUUUAAUAUGGAUUUAACGAAUAUAUUUUUAAAUGGCUAUGUAUUUAAUCUAUCUUAUGUAGGUUUCCAUUUUUCGGAUAUUUGGAUUGUAUAUUAGUGGUGAUACGAUGAUGGGGGAUGAUAUGCAAAGGUAUAUUAAUAUGGUGGCCACAAGUCAAUUCAAUCAAUUGAAAUUGAUGCACACUUUUUGAAUAUUAAAGUGUUAAGUUUAUAUUUGGUUUUGUGGAAUUCAUUGCUAGUGGACAUUUUUGAAAUAUUAUUUUAUUACUAUAUGUUCCUAGA